rnacentral:rRNA from 5 species
GUAACAAGGUUUCCGUAGGUGAACCAGCGGAGGGAUCAUUA